GAUUUCCGUAGGUGAACCUGCGGAAGGAUCAU
rnacentral:rRNA from 1 species